CGUGUAGGCGGUUUGGCAAGUCGAGUGUGAAAUCCCACGGCUCAACCGUGGAACUGCGCUCGAAACUGUCUUACUUGAGUGCGGGAGAGGUGUGCGGAAUUCCUGGUGUAGCGGUGGAAUGCGUAGAUAUCAGGAAGAACACCGGUGGCGAAGGCGGCACACUGGCCCAGCACUGACGCUGAGGCGCGAAAGCGUGGGGAGCGAACG
rnacentral:rRNA from 1 species